AAAAGUGUCUGCCAGAGGAAAUACCAUGAUUAUGAAGGUGGUUUUCAUGGGGUGCCUCUUCACUGCACUCUGGUCAGGCUGGCCUCUGAGAGUUUCCCCAAAUGCACUAAACUUAAGUGACUUAUUUUGUGGUAACGGGGGACUGUAUUCAUGCUUUCCCCUG